GAUUAAAAUAAACAACCAAUAUCUCAAGUUAUAUGAACAAUCAACGGAAAUAACCAUAUAUCCAUCCUUAAUGCUUCAAGUUUUCAAAGUGUUUCUAAGAUUAGAGAGAUGAAUUUCUCAUAUUUUAGAAUCCACAAGAUGUCAUAGAUUAAGAAACAGCAAAUAGGAAAUAGAAUAAAGAGCGAUACCAAAAUCAAUCAUUUGAAGAUGAUUAUAGAGUUAUUUUUAGAGUAAUGCAAACGAUGCAAAGGUUGAGCGAUAAUAAAGCAACGAUGAAAAUACAUACCAAGCUCACCAAGUCACGAAGAGGUAAAACUUUUGCAAGUCCCGCAAGAUGCCAAAACCCUAAUCGAUGUAGAGUUGCGAGAAAAGGGGG